GAUGAACGCUGACAGAAUGCUUAACACAUGCAAGUCGAUGGGGAAGUGGUGCUUGCACCAUGGUAACCAUGGCGGACGGGUGAGUAACGCGUAAGGAACUUGCCUGCGGGACUGGGAUAACAGCAGGAAACUGCUGAUAAUACCGGAUAAGGUCAUUAAGCUGCAUAGCUUAGUGAUGAAAGGAGACGCCUGCGGAGAGCCUUGCGUCCUAUUAGCUAGUUGGAGGGGUAACGGCCCACCAAGGCGAAGAUAGGUAGCCGGCCUGAGAGGGUGGACGGCCACAAGGGGACUGAGAUACGGCCCUUACCCCUACGGGAGGCAGCAGUGGGGAAUAUUGGACAAUGGGGGCAACCCUGAUCCAGCAAUUCUGUGUGCACGAAGACGGUUUUCGGAUUGUAAAGUGCUUUCAGCAGGGAAGAAGGAAGUGACGGUACCUGCAGAAGAAGCGACGGCUAAAUACGUG
rnacentral:rRNA from 1 species